GGGGGGCGGGGUUGGGGAGUGGUCAGAGAGCUUCCCAGAUGGCGAAGACAUGGAGGUGCUGGGAGGGUGGAUGCCUGGAGAGGGCCUGGAAGCUCCAGGUCCCUUCCCACACACCUUGCCCUCUGCAUCUCUUCCAUUUGGCUGUUCCUGAGUUGUGUAUUUUGUAAGACGGUAAUUGACUCAGACAUGGCCUUCCUUUGGGGAACAUGAACAGAUCCUGUUGGAGCUGCAGCCCUAAUGACUUGCACACUUGGAACCGAGGGCUGGCAGGGUGGACAGCCAAGGAGAUGGAGCUCACCCCGUGGACCCCGGAGCUGACAGAAGCGAGGUCAGCAGCGCUGGCUCUGGAGAGACCUUGGAGACCGCCUAGCCAGCAGUUCUCCACCCUGGCUGCACCUAGACUCACCUGGGAGCUUUAAAAAAGAUACCCGUGUCUGAUUCCACCCCGGAAGCUUACUUGAACUGUCUCGGUAAGGCCCUUGUAUCACUAUUAAAAAAAAGGAAAGUCGGGAGAGUCUACUGUGCAGCCAGGUAGCGAUCCAUGACUUCGUCCAGACUUUUCAUUUUACAGGCUACACAAAAUCUGUUUUGGAGACAACUCAUCAAAUUCAACUGGAUGUUUUAAUUUCUGUAACUCUCUUCCAAAAGGAAAUCUAAGCUUUUGUUGAACACCUAGACGGAUGCCAUUUCAUUUUUGGAAACUUCCAGGAGUUCCCUGGUUACCGUGUCCCAGAUGGCCAAGGGAGGGGCUGCCAUUCAGGAUCCCGAACCUGGCGUUCCGGCCAGAACUGAACACUUCUCUGGGCGUACAGAGAGAAGGAACCCUUCCUCGCAUUUGGCUCUCCCUGGGCCUCACCACAUGAGCAGCAGAGCUGUGAAGACAGCAGGAAGGGCCCUUGGCUGCCACUGUAAAUAUUAUCAUUGCCUUUGGUAUGCAGAAAAGCAAGAGGAGCAGCAUUUGCUGCUUCCAGGUGGCAGACGGACAAAACUGAGAGCAGAGGGGGAGAAGCUGGAAGGGUGUCUGGGAAAAAAAGAGAUCAAUAAAACCUCACUAGUGUGCAAUAUUUACUAUAAACAGCCCAAGGUUGUUUGGGGUAUGGAAAACUGUCAACAUAGAUCAGUUCUUCCUCAGUGACUGUGGGAGCAGGUGUUCCAGAAAGAAGAAUGAAGAUGGCAGCCGUGGUGGGAUCAAUGAUCAGACUCUGAUUACAGCGAAGUCACUGAAUGUUAAUGUGGACCGGCAGCCAGUGCCACAGCGCGCAGGGCCCCCUGCCAUUUUUAAAACACACAUUUCAAGAUUCUGGACUGCCGCAAUGUGUAAAUACUUUCAGACCGUGGACUAUUUCCUCAAUUCUUCAGCAGAAUUUUUCCAAAGUACACAAAUGUUAGUAAUGAAGCUAGUUUGGGGCCAAGAAAACUUAACUGACAAAAAGUGCAGAAAGGCCUGGGUAAGACAAAAAAGGCAGGCAUACUUUGCUCUGUAACGUCUCAAGAUGCUCAGAGAAGUGACUAGAAAUGCUUCUCCAUGCAGCUUUUUGCAAAAGCAUUUGAGAGAGCCUCUUUCUUAACAGUUAAGCUCGUGGAGGAUGAAGGACCUUUCUGGCAAUUUAGGGUGAACUUUCUUCCUCUCCUUUCUCCCCUACUCUAUCUGCUUUUGAAUGACAGACUAACCUGGAUCCUGAAGCCAGAUUUAAAAUUCCUAGAAUUUUAAUUUGAUCUCUUACUGUUCGAUAAUGAAAGAACAAUAUUUCUUUAGAGAAGACGAGAUCUGUGUGUGCACCAACUUUUUUCUGGAUUUUGUUCUCACUUGUCUAGUCCUGUGCUGGAAGUCAAAGGAAAAAUAGCCAGAGGGGCUGCAGAAAUAUUCAUCAGCUUAAUGUUACCUCUGGGAAGAAGGGAUGGGUAUGGACUUGCCAUGUCUUCUGCUGUGUUCCUCUUAAAAAAUGGAAUGCACUAUGAUUGUUUCAAAGAAACAGUUAUGCACCACAUCAAAGUACCUAACUGUAAACCAGCUACCGUCCAAGGUUCCAGGCAUCUCAACGGUCAGAGAGCCUCGGCAAAGGGCAGCCUUGCCUCUGUGAGAAUGUCUGUCCAAGCAGUAAUCCACUGACCUCAUCUUCUCCUGUUACA
rnacentral:lncRNA from 1 species